ACUGAAAAAAAUUUACUAUCGUAAGUCAGGAUUACGCAGCUAUUUGUUAUGAUAACAAAACUAUCUUGGUUAUGGCAAGUCACAUUUGUUGUGAUAAGUAAAGUGAAACUGCUGUUUUAAAAAAUAAUGUGUUGAGUUGAAUUUUUUUCCAUCUAAUACAUUGCUAAGGCUGAUAGAACAAGGAGAAAGUGGAGUGGGUGCCUCAAAAAAAGGCGGAUAGAAGAAAUAGAAGCGAAUCGAUAGCAGGAAGUGUAUGGAGAAAAAAAAUUGGAAGACAAAGUAAAUUGGAAAAAGCCAGAGGAGGCCUUUACCUGUGAAGGAGUUCACCUGUAAUUCCGUACUUAAGGAAAAGGAUAUGGGAUAUACAGGAUAACAAGAUAAAAAUAAUGUAUGAAAUGUAAAAAAUCUAAGCUGUAUAUUAUUAUUUUCCAAUUCCAAAGAAAAGGUUGGAGCUCCAAUGAUUUCUUAAUAAUUAAUAAAUUAAUCUUCGUAUAAUGUUUCCGAUACAACCUAAUGCCGGCUGUACACAAUCGGCGAGAGGACCAGGAGAAGAGCGGAGCCUGUACACACUCGAUUAUCAUUUAAACAUCAUUAAUAAUGGACAUGGAACCGCUGCUGCUGUUUGUCUUUGUGCAAUAAGUUAUUAUAAUUUUAUUUACGUUUACCAUAACAAAAUUACGAAGCCAUAGAGAAGAAGAUGGAUGAUUACUAUGAACCGCAAGAGAAGUGAUUGAACGAGUGUGUCCAGGUCGCUCUCGUUUUAUCGCGAGACCCUUUGACUCGUGCGAAAAAAACUGACAGGCAACCAAGAGAGUCGAGACCAAGUGCGAGAAAGCGAGACGAGACGAGAGCUCCAUUAAACACUCUCGCGAUCGGCCUGUCUCGGUGUGUCUCGCCGAGUGUGUACAACCAGCAUAAGAAUAAUAAUCAAGAACUGUUGGAAGACUUAUGAAAUAUUAUGAUAGGUAUUAUUUAAAGGUAAUGCAAAAAAUUAUUAUUUUAUCAUGAAAAGUAUUAAUUCAACUGUUUGCAUGGCCUUCAUGUAAUGUAAAUAGUGGAGCUGAAAAGAGAUAAGUGCCACAAAACGUUAUUUUAUUAUCAUUCAGAUAACAAUGAGACCAAAAAUAUGGAACAAGUUAUGUAAUAUAACUGAUGCAAUCAAAAUCUUUGGAUUUAUCACUGGAAAAAUUAAAAUUUUCUUUUUCACAAAAUUAGGGUUAUAUUUUGUUAAUUAUUAUGACAUAGUAUAAAACCAAAAGAAGUGAAUUUUGGAUGCUACUU